UCUCACAAAUCCCAAAAAUUCUCUGACUCUUUCUAUAAGAGAACCCUUAAGUUCUCUCGUCUCUCCAACUCCCACAAGAUUCCAAAUUUCUUAACGUUCUAAAGAAAAAGCCCUAAAUUCUCGUGAAUUUGUUCUAAUAUGUCUUCGAGUAGAGAUCGUGGUGAAAGAUGGUGCGCGGAAGAUGUUAAUAUCAAGGGUCGCCCUGCAAGGAGAAGUCUCCAUCUCUGUCCGCUGGCCAGAAAGUUAAGAACUGUCUGGGUUUGUCUAAUGGUCACUUCGAGGCGUUUUAUGAUCUUGUAGAUUCCUUCAAAGAAGGGCAUGUCUGUUUUGAUACUCACCUGGAAUCGAUAGACUUAUAUGGUCUGACCCAUCUAUCGAACGAUCUCAUGAGUUCCUUACUCAAAGAUAUGGAGAAGAUCCCAACAAUGUCUUUGACUCAAAGUCAGUCAAUCAAUAAAGAUUUCUUGGCAACAUAUACCAAAGAUCCCACAAGCCACAGCUUUCUCCUCUCUAUCUCCACUAGUUCUCCAACACCAUCACCACCAAAGUAGGAGAGAGGUCAGAGAUAAAAAGAAGAAGGGACAAAACAAGUCACAAAGGGCGAUGACUAUACUUUUAGAUUCAAUUCAAUUCAAUUCAUUCUGUUUUUUCAAUCUAGUUUCCUCCUCUUUCUUUUGUCUAUACUUUUACGAUCUUGUACACGUUGAAUUUUUUGUCUGUCACUUUUAAACUAGUUCAGUUUAAAAAGAUUUUGUUUAGUGAAGGGAGAUUGACUCUGUUGAGA